ACCCCUAGUCGACAUCCUUACUCUCUAGGCGGUAAAGCCUAAUAAGGAGAGACCUAGCUCGGGUAACAAUUGAAAGGACGUGGAUGUCGCCUAGAGGGGGUGAAUAGGCACUUUACAAUAAUUAAGGUUUAGGCAUGAACAAAUGCGGAAUAAAACUAAUGUUUAAUUAGUCAAGCACAAAACCUAAAACAACCAGGCUCACCUAUGUGCACCAACAACUUAUGCUAAUCAAGAUAAAAAAA
rnacentral:lncRNA from 1 species